CUCCCCUCUUUUUAUCUCUCUCUCCCUCUCUCUCUCUCGCUCUCUUCUACCCUCUCUCCUCUGCCUCCUCACAUCUUUGCCUCUCUCUCUCCCUCUCUCUCUCUCAUCUCUCUCGCUCUCUUCUACCCUCUCUCCUCCUGCCUCCUCCCCUCUUUUCCUCUCUCUCUCUCUCCCUCUCUCUUUCUCUCUCUUUCUCUCUCUCUCUCUCAACCCCUCUCAUUCAUUUUCUCUCUCCAUCCAUCUCAUCCCCUCCCUUUCUUCUUCUCUCAGAAAUUAGAGGUGAUGGUUGAAGAGGCAUCUGAGAGGAGUGAGUGGUCAUCAGCUCUAUACCACCCCUCCUGGUGUCAAGAACAGAAGACAAGAUACAAGUCCACUCCCAGCCCCUCCCAGCCCCUCCUGGAGCCUCAGACCAGUACAACCAGCUGACAGAGGUCCUCACACAGCAAUAACAGGUUACUAUAAAACUUCCUUUAUUACACACUGAAUUACACUGGUUAUCACAGUACCCUAACUGACUCUGUGCCUCUCCUCCCUCCAUCAGAAGUGUCUGUGCCAGCUGUUCACCCACAUGGGGGAGAUCACUGAGACAACUAGAGCUCAGUGAGGAUUUUAAGAUGGACAUCAAACGAACUCGCCGUAGAUUUAAGAGUCAUCCAGUCCAAAGGCAUCAAGUUUAGGUUGUUCAAAAAGGGUGAGUGAGUUUAUCUCUUUGUAACUCAAUUGACAUUCUAACUGGCGUCUGCCGUUUUGACUGUUGUUUCUCUGUGUCAGUAGCUGUCUUCUCUUUCUGUAAUACUUUCAUAUUUGUGGAUCUUUGUCUGUCUCUGUUUUUUUGAUUGUUUGUUUGUAUCACUUUCCCUUUCUUCCUCUCUUAUUCCAUCUCGCUCACCCUCCCUCUCCAGUCUCUCGCUCUCUCUGCAGUGGGCUGUUUAAGACUGAUAAAGGGAUUGGCAGUGCUGGUAUGAAGCUGGACUCUCUGGAAAGGCAGUGUGAGAGCAAACAGCUAAUAAAGAGGCUGCCUCCUACCAGUGUCUGUAGGGCAGAGUGUCUCAACUGCUAUCUACUCGGCCCUCUUCGCCCCCCGGGCAAGGCCAGGCACGGGCAUCAGCUCCACUGCAGGUUCCUCCUGCCUCUGCCUCUCUGCCUAGACCAGCACCCAGAGACCACCACCACCUCACAGCCCGGUCCAACGCAGCCAGGCCGCUGGGUAAAUAAGAUCAGAGGAAAACAUGGUCAAAACAACAAUAAUAAAAACAGGC
rnacentral:lncRNA from 1 species